GGCUUGUUUGCACAGAUUGCUAUAUAUGCUAUAUAGGGAGAUUUUGAAGUGGCUAGAUCACAAACAGUAUAGUUGGCAGCCUCAAUGGCCAUGUAUUCAUAUGUGGUGUGAACCUUCAUAUGCAGCUUGAUGUGGUGUGCUUAUACACAAAUGUUGUAACCACACCAUGCACGUUCUGUUAGACAAACUACUCAGGCGUAUAUAUAAGGCAGAGCAAGAUGCGCUGAGGUCAAAGUUGAGGCAACUGAAGGACCUGGUUUUACUCGGAUGUCCGUUUUACUCCAAAGAGGAGGCAGGAAAAGAUGACAUGAAGAUUGACCAUGAGAUAGAGGCUAGUAUUAUCGGUAACUUUCAAGACAGCAAUUGCAGACCUCAAGAAAUGUAUUGCAGACCUGGUGGACUGCUGGAAUAUAAAUGACUAGUGCCUCUCCCCCUACAGGCUGCUUAUAACUUUAUUAAGACCAACGCUCCUGGAAGAUAGAAUGAUGUACUGUUAACAAUCAUCACUGUGUUUUAUAAAGUUGUUUAUUUGUGUAUGUGCAUUCAAUAAGCAUAUUGACAUCUUGACUUUCAAA